CCUAAUUUACAAUCGUUACUACGUGCAACCGUUGUCCGUUGAUGAUAAUAAUCCCACGCGUGAGUGCUGAAACGGUACGAUGUGGUCGAGAUGAGGAAAGGAAGACAGCACUGUUACUGUCUGUCGCGCCGUUUCAGUGAUUUUUCACUUUCUCAAAAUAUCCUCCAACACAAACCUCAAACCUCACACAUCUACAAAAUCUCUCUUUGUAGCUUUGUGGCGGGAAACCUCUUCUCUUAGAGAGGGAGAUUAUAAACCCUAAAAAGCCCACCAAUUUUCUUAAUCUUCCCAUUCUGAACUGAUGCAAUGCUCAGCCAACAAGCGAAGUAAUUUGGAUAGGAUUCUCUUACAGAAAAAAUAAAGAAACAUCCACUAACUACUCCACUCUGCACAAUGUACUGGCUUGCAACUAGAAGCGUCGUCGUUUCGCUUCCCCGGUGGCGUUCCCUCGCUCUCUUGCUUCGUUCCGCUGCUCCCAGACACUGCUCAUUCAGCUCUUCACCCACGCUUCGCCACAGCAGGAGAGAGUUGGAGCGGAUUUGUUGUUUCAAAGGUCAGAAAGUUUUGAAGGGAAGCUCAAAAACCACCAAGAAAUUUAAAGCAUUAAAUGGUGCCCUCAAUGAUAAGGAUCUUUCUAACUUACUAUGGUGGAAGGAGAGGUUGGAGAUGUGCAGAAAGCCUUCAACUGUUCAGCUGGUUAAAAGGCUUACAUAUUCCAAUUUGCUAGGCUUGGAUGUUAACUUGAAAAAUGGGAGUCUAAAAGAAGGAACACUCAACUGGGAGAUGUUGCAGUUUAAGUCAAGGUUUCCACGCGAAGUUUUGCUCUGCAGAGUUGGGGAAUUUUAUGAAUCCAUUGGAAUAGAUGCCUGUAUUCUUGUUGAAUACGCAGGCUUGAAUCCUUUUGGGGGUCUGCGUUCAGAUAGCGUUCCAAGAGCUGGUUGCCCCAUAAUGAAUCUUCGGCAAACUUUAGAUGAUUUGACACGUAAUGGGUAUUCAGUGUGCAUAGUGGAGGAAGUUCAGGGUCCAACACAAGCUCGUGCUCGUAAAGGUCGUUUUAUAUCUGGGCAUGCACAUCCAGGUAGCCCAUAUGUAUUUGGACUUGUAUGUGGCGAUCAUGAUCUUGACUUUCCAGAACCAAUGCCUGUAGUUGGAAUAUCUCGUUCUGCAAGGGGGUAUUGCAUAAAUUUAGUCCUGGAGACCAUGAAGACAUUUUCCUCUGAGGAUGGUUUGACUGAAGAGGCCUUAGUUACCAAGCUCCGUACUUGUCGAUACCAUCAUUUAUAUCUGCAUACCUCUUUGAGAAACAACUCUUCAGGCACUUGCCGCUGGGGUGAAUUUGGUGAGGGAGGUCUGUUGUGGGGAGAAUGUAGUGCCAGACAAUUUGAAUGGUUUGGAGGGAAUCCUGUCAAUGAGCUUUUGCUUAAGGUAAAGGAGCUUUAUGGUCUCAAUGAUGAAGUUACAUUUAGGAAUGUCACUCUGUCUUCAGAAAAUAGGCCCCAGCCUUUAACCCUAGGAACAGCAACACAAAUUGGUGCCAUACCAACAGAGGGAAUACCUUGUUUGUUGAAGGUGUUGCUUCCAUCUAAUUGCACUGGUCUACCUGUAUUGUAUAUGAGAGAUCUUCUUCUUAACCCUCCUGAUUAUGAGAUUGCUUCUGCAAUUCAAGCAACUUGCAAGCUUAUGAGCAAUGUAACGUGCUCGAUUCCCGAGUUUACUUGCAUUUCAUCUUCCAAGCUUGUGAAGCUACUUGAACAGAGGGAGGCCAAUCAUAUUGAGUUUUGUAAAAUAAAAAAUGUACUUGAUGAAAUAUUGCACAUGUAUAAAAAUUCUGAGCUCAAGGAAAUCCUGAAAUUGUUGAUGGAUCCGACAUGGGUGGCAACUGGAUUAAAAAUUGACUUUGAGACAUUGGUUACUGAAUGUGAGUGGGCUUCAGGUCGAAUUGGUGAAAUGAUCUCUCUAGAUGGUGAAAGUGAUAAAAAAAUUAGUUCCUCUUCUGUCAUUCCCAGUGACUUUUUUGAGGAUAUGGAGUCUUCUUGGAAAGGUCGUGUGAAGAAGAUCCAUAUAGAGGAAGAAUUUGCAGAAGUUCAAAGGGCAGCUGAGGCCUUAUCUUUAGCAGUAACUGAAGAUUUCCUCCCUAUAAUUUCUAGAAUAAAAGCUUCCACAGCCCCAUUUGGCGGUUCAAAGGGAGAAAUUUUAUAUGCUCGAGAGCAUGAAGCUGUUUGGUUCAAGGGCAAACGUUUUACACCAUCUGUAUGGGCUGGGACUCCUGGGGAGGAACAAAUCAAACAGAUUAAACCUGCUUCAGAUUCAAGAGGUAGAAAGGUUGGAGAGGAAUGGUAUACCACAUGGAAGGUGGAGGAUGCUUUAACCAGGUACCAUGAGGCAGGUGCCAAGGCAAAACUGAAGGUCUUGGAAUUAUUGAGGGGGCUUUCUUCUGAAUUACAAUCUAAAAUUAAUAUCCUUGUCUUUGCUUCCAUGUUGCUUAUUGUUGCAAAGGCAUUGUUUGCUCAUGUGAGUGAAGGAAGGAGGAGGAAAUGGGUUUUUCCCACUCUUGCAAAGUCCCAUGGGUCUGAGGAUGUAAAGCCAUUUGAUGGAGCAUAUGGGAUGAAGAUAAUUGGCCUAUCGCCAUAUUGGUUUGAUGUAGCAGAAGGCAGUGCUGUACACAAUACAGUUGAUAUGCAAUCAUUGUUUCUUUUGACAGGACCUAAUGGGGGUGGUAAAUCAAGUUUGCUUCGAUCAAUCUGUGCUGCUAGUUUACUUGGAAUAUGUGGAUUUAUGGUGCCUGCAGAGUCGGCCUUGAUUCCUCAAUUUGAUUCAAUCAUGCUUCACAUGAAAUCUUAUGAUAGCCCUGCCGAUGGGAAAAGUUCAUUUCAGGUAGAAAUGUCGGAAAUUCGGUCCAUUAUUGCCGGAACCACUAAAAGAAGCCUUGUGCUUAUAGAUGAAAUUUGCCGAGGAACAGAAACCGCAAAAGGGACUUGUAUUGCAGGGAGCAUCAUUGAAACUCUCGACAAAAUUGGUUGUCUGGGUAUUGUAUCCACUCACUUGCAUGGAAUAUUUACUUUGCCACUCAAUACCAAGAACAUGGUUUACAAAGCAAUGGGAACAGUAUAUGUUGAUGGCAAAACAAAACCAACUUGGAAGUUGAUAGAUGGGAUAUGUAGAGAAAGCCUUGCAUUUGAAACAGCCAAAAAGGAAGGAAUGCCUGAAACAAUAAUCCGAAGAGCUGAAGGCCUGUAUCUUUCAGUUUAUGCAAAAGAAGUUCUUUCUGGAAGAAAUGAGAGAGAAGCUGACCUUUCUAACACGAGUAUUUAUCAUUCUGAUGAAUCCCAUCUUGAAUUGAGUAGGAUUAGACAAGAAGCUGCCUUUAAUAGGAAAAAGUCAACGAACCAAGUGGAAGUUUUACAAAAGGAAGUUGAGAAUGCUGUCACGGUAAUAUGUCAGAAGAAGCUGAUUGAGCUCUACAAGAAGAAAAACAUAUCAGAACUUGCAGUGGUACACUGUGUCCUAAUUGAUGCAAGGGAACAGCCACCUCCAUCAACAAUAGGUGCUUCAAGUGUCUACGUGAUGCUUAGACCCGAUAAGAAAUUUUAUGUUGGAGAGACGGAUGAUCUUGAGGGCCGAGUCCGUGCGCAUCGUUCAAAGGAAGGGAUGCAGAAUGCAUCUUUCAUUUAUUUCUUAGUCCCAGGAAAGAGUCUGGCUUGCCAACUGGAAACUCUUCUCAUCAACCAGCUUUCUAAUCAAGGGUUUCAACUGACCAAUGUGGCUGAUGGUAAGCACAGAAAUUUUGGCACGUCUGUCCCCAUAGAAAGUGUGCCUGUGUCUGUGUGUUCUUGACGCAGCAGCCCUUGAUCCCUAUGUUAAUAGCUAGUCAGUCAGAAGAAAGAGGUUGUUGGCCUCGCUAUGUUACUGGAUGUAAUUCAUUGACAAAAGCAAGAGGAUGUGAAAUUGAUCUGGCAGUGGCUGCACCAAUUUUGUCUUUUUUAUGUCCGUUGCUCCACUUGCAGUUUAGGGUCCUCACCUCCAGUAAAUGGGGUUUUGAACUUUUGCUAGGCCUAACAUGGCUUGCAAGGAGCGCAUAUUGAGGUUAAAAAUAACAGGUAUCUCUACGAGGUGACCAUCUACCUGCAAGAUGCACCACUUCCAUGAACUCCUAUUAUUCUUAGCAUGGAUAAUUGAGUUUCAAAUGGGGUUCCGAUUAUUGUUAAUUUAUUAUAAAGCAUCAUAUUAAUGGUAUCUCCUUUUCUUUUCUUUUUUUAAUUUUU